AGAGGUCUCAAGCGUUGUUCGGAUUCAUUGGGCGUAAAGGGUGCGUAGGUGGCGCCAUAAGUCGGGUGUGAAAUCUCGGGGCUUAACUCCGAAACUGCAUUCGAUACUGUGGUGCUCGAGGACUGGAGAGGAGACUGGAAUUCAUGGUGUAGCAGUGAAAUGCGUAGAGAUCAUGAGGAAGACCAGUGGCGAAGGCGGGUCUCUGGACAGUUCCUGACACUGAGGCACGAAGGCCAGGGGAGCAAACGGGAUUAGAUACCCCGGUAGUCCUGGCAGUAAACGGUGCACGUUUGGUGUGGGAGGAUUCGACCCCUUCUGCGCCGGAGCUAACGCGUUAAACGUGCCGCCUGGGGAGUACGGUCGCAAGAUUA
rnacentral:rRNA from 1 species